CAUCUUAUUGUUAGAACGCCCUCAGUCUCCGGCGUCAGUAUGUGAUUGUGGUUUGAACUGGUACCCGGAUCUGAAGCACGUGAGCUGAAAACUUGUGAAAAAGCAGAAAAACUACAAAUAUAAUGUUCAAUUAACAUUGAUUCCACAGUCGUACACGAAUAAUGGAGAAAGAAUUUCACAAUUUUCCAUCGAAAUAUAUGGAUCAAUCUUCAACACAUUCCUGUGGACGGGCUGUGUCUGACAUAUCACGAGUAUUGACUACUGGCGGCUGGACAAUGGAUGCCUGAGGCUGUAAGACUGAGGAUACAAGGCAGGUUCUUUGAAAAAUUCAUUCUUCAAUAUCAAAGUAAAUUUCAUCAGAGGUGGGGCGAGGCGAUGCAAUCAACGGCGGAAAGUAACUAAUUAACGUGCGACGCGUAUAAAAGUAACCGAACGACAUUAGGAGCACGUAGGAGAG